rnacentral:rRNA from 1 species
UACAGAGGGUGCAAGCGUUAAUCGGAAUUACUGGGCGUAAAGCGUGCGUAGACGGUUAUUUAAGUCAGGUGUGAAAGCCCCGGGCUCAACCUGGGAAUUGCAUUUGAGACUGAAUAGCUAGGGUGCGGAAGAGGGAAGCGGAAUUUCCGGUGUAGCGGUGAAAUGCGCAGAUAUCGGAAGGAACACCAGUGGCGAAAGCGGCUUCCUGGUCCAGCACCGACGUUCAGGCACGAAAGCGUGGGGAGCAAACAGG